UUGUUUGUGGAUUUGGUAUGUGCACACAGCCAGAGAUAUAUCCCUGAUUGCUGUUAAUCCUUUGAGUGUUUUUACAUUAUACAGCAUAUGUCCAGGGAAAGUUCUGUCUUGUGCUUUAAUGAUACUCCCUGAUCCUCCAGCGACACUCCUGGAAACAGAAAAUCACACCAGCCUGUUUCCAUCCCAGGGAGUUCUCAGGCUGUGAAUUGGGUUUUAUUCCACAUCACAGAAACAAAGAACCACUGAAUAUUUUCAGAAGUUCAGUCUUAUGUGUUUGCAAACCUGGAAAAUAAAUGGAAGGUUGGUCUAGGGGCUGGAUGUGGAGGAAGGGAGUCAGCACACAAAGGCCCCACACCACAUCUUUGGACUUGCCUAUGACCUCACAGGGGUCAAAAUCCAUGGCUGGAGCUGGUCAAAAAUUUUUUUUGAGGCCUAUGAUAGAAUUUUUCAUGAAGCAAACUCUACCAGAGAAUAAAUAUAUUUGCUAUUUUGGAGGUGGUGAGGCUCUGGAACAGGUUGCCCAAAGAAGUUGUUGAUGCCCUAUUUCUGGAACUGUUCAUGGCCGGGCUGGAUGGGGCUUGGAGCACCUGGAAGGUGUCUCUGCCCCGUGGCAGGAGAACUGGAAUGAAGUGAUCUCUCAGGCUCUUCCCAAUCCAAAUCUUUCUACAGUUCUAUGAUUCUAAUAUUAAUUGGUUUGAAUUUUAAUUGUAACUUCAGGAAUGAGUGCUUUCUGCAGCUGGGUUUUACUUUAGUUGCAAAAUCUGUCAGACGUGUUUUACUUUAAAUUCCCAGUAUAUAUGCUUAACCUUCAUUACACCUUGAGGUAAUUUAUCUGUAAAUGAACACUAAUCAAGAAACCUGAAGUCAUGUGGGAUGCUUCUAAUAUUUUGAAGAUAAGUAAUAUUAAGCCUAAAUCACAUUUAAAGAGGAUAUUAAUUGAAGUAGUAGAGCAGGACAAAUCAGUAAAACAGAACAGCCAGUCAAACUGGGUUACAGUUGCAUUGCUUUUCACAAAAGCACAAAGUACCCAUGGGGUAUGAAUUACAAUAUUAAUUAAUAUUUUUUACAGUUCUUUGCAGAAGAUAGGUGUCUACAGCUUGUGUUGUGCAGAACCAAGAAAUGGUCAGUCUUGCCUAUUAAAAUAAACUGGGAAAGGAAACCAGAUGUCAGAACCUCUGCUGGGGGGUUGCUGGUUCACAGGAGAGCUCCUGGAGAUGCUUUGAGCCCACAGCUCCAUGGUGAACCCUCCAGCCCCUAAACCCUGGCAGUUCUGCAGGGGAUUAGGAUAACUUGUGCCCCCAGGUCUUCGUGUCAGAGCUGCAGCACCAUGAAAGGUUUACUGGGAUAGAAAGAGAAGACAGGAAAGGGUUGGAGGGAGGAGAAGGAGGACUUACAUCCUUGAUGUAGAUAUUGAACAGCUGGACUUCAAAGACUGCGUUAGUCACCCUAGGCUCCAUGUAAAAUGAGUGGAGAGGAAAAGGAACUCAAGAUGUUUGAUUCAGGACAAGAAAUGCCUGAUUCCCUGCUGCCUGUAGGAGACAUGUAGGUACCUGGAUAGUGCUGAAGUUAGCUGAGGUGACCUUGCCUGGCCUAUUGGCUAUGGCAGUCUCCUGGGAGGAGAGAUCCUGAGCUCUGGCCUCUGCUUCAGGGACUUCUGAUGGAGUUUGUGCAGGUGACAGGUCACAUGGAGACGAGCAUUAGUGGAUGCAGAGUGUCCCUUCUUCCUGCAGUCGAGUGCAUUAUCCCAGGGCCUGAGUGCAUUAUCCCCGGGGCUGAGGUAUGCUGAGGAAAUUGGGAGGUGCAUGUUUGAAUGUCCUUUUACAGGAGAAGGAACUUGGUCCACAUGCUGCUUCCAGGAGAGUGCUUUGACCAUUGAGCAACUGACAGUGGGAACCACGUCCUGCAAGCCCCUGCUCUGCGAGGCAGAAGGGCUGCAGUUUCCUUCUGGGAGGAGGAAGACCUGCCAGGAGGGUUUGCCAUGACCCAGCAGCCUGGACAGACUGGUUGUUUCAGGGAGUUUGGGCUGAAGAGCAAUUUCAGAGCCUUGAUGGACUUGGAAGUGAGCUGGGUGCUGGCUUGUGAGGCCUGAGGCUCUACCUAGGGAGGAGCACGAGACAUCACAGUUAAAAAGACUGGCUCCUCACUCUCCACACCUGACAUCUGGGCAGAGCACACCUGAAUCUCUCCCAAGAGUAUCAAACCCAGCUCCUGUUGGCUUCCCUUGGGUUUCUGGCAGCCCUUGGAUGAUCCAUGCAGAGAAAAUAGGCAAGUGAAAGUGCAUCACAUGUACAGUCUGGGAAGAGCACAGAGACAGCCAGGCAGCCAUUGCAGGGGUUUGGCACCUCGCUCAGGAAUGAGCACAUGCAGAAAGGUCAGAUUUAUAGCUAGUGGGACUGCAUGAAGCCUCCUUUGUGUGCUAUGGGAAUACUCAGAGGAGGACAUUAAAGUUUAUCACUGAAGUUCAGGUGCCAGGUAAGCAAACAGUUUCUCAGGCCAAAACCAAUCAUUUAAGGCAAUUAUUCCAAACAGAAAAUCAACCAGAAAGUAUUAAAUAACCUUUUAGCCUGGAUCCCCUGCUGGGAGGGGAACAUUUUCUGACAUUGGAUGGCAGCCUAGAAUCUAUGAUCUGGCCUAGAAAUGGCUUUUUUUUUUCUUCUUCUUUUUUAAUUAAUAAGCUAUAAAUUUUCACCCCAAAUGACCACUGUGGAGCUUUCUGUCUUUUUAGGCUGUGAGAGGGAAAACCACUAAUUCACCUACAUCAUCGCUUGCCCAGACAGAGAGUCCUUUGAAAAUCCUCUUGCCUGCUCUGUCUGUUUUGAAGCCCAAAAGCUGAGUACUGAAGAGGCACUCCAGGGACUGUUUAUACAGUUUACCCAAUAAUUAGUUCUUAGAGACAUUAAUU